GAGCAGGGCUGGGCCUCAAGGUUACUCCUCGAGGUCAGGAGAUGCUUUAUCCAGCAUCUGAUAUCUAUAAUGAGGAAGUGGGAAAUCCCACAACAUGGAGAGGAGCUAUGUUGAAUACUAGCAGAAAGAAUGAGGAGCAACUAAAAUCUGUGGGGGCUGGUAUAAGAAACCUGAAGAUGGGAAAUAGCUUGAAGAUCCAAUAGAAUGCAAAGAUAGAGUUAGAAGAGGACAUGAACAACAUACAUCAAGAUUCUCCAGUUUUUGCUUUUCAACUGUUGACAAAUAGUUGUGGAAACAAGAGGAAAUAGCACAUUGGCUUGCACUGCAGAGAUUCCAAAAGAAUCAGAAUUUUGGAAGGCAUGAAAAGAACUUA